CCUACGGGAGGCAGCAGUGGGGAAUAUUGCGCAAUGGGGGAAACCCUGACGCAGCAACGCCGCGUGAGUGAGGAAGUAUCUCGGUAUGUAAAGCUCUAUCAGCGGGGAGGAAGGAAGACGGUACCCGACUAAUAGGCCUCGGCUAACUACGUGCCAGCAGCCGCGGUAAUACGUAGGGGGCGAGCGUUAUCCGGAUUUACUGGGUGUAAAGUGAGCGUAGACGGCGGGUCAAGUCUGAAGUGAAAGCCCGUGGCUCAACCGCGGAACCGCAGUUGAGACUGCGAGGGGGGAGUGCUGGAGAGGUGAGCGGAAUUCCAGGUGUAGCGGUGAAAUGCGUAGAGAUGAGGAGGAACACCGGUGGCGAAGGCGGCUUACUGGACAGAGACUGACGUUGAGGCGCGAAAGCGUGGGGAGCGAACAGGAUUAGAUACCCGUGUAGUC
rnacentral:rRNA from 1 species